rnacentral:tRNA from 1 species
GAGGGCAUAGCUCAGUGGUAGAGCGCAUGCUUAGCAUGCAUGAGGUCCUGGGUUCAAUCCCCAGUACUUCCU